rnacentral:miRNA from 1 species
GAGUUAUGGGAUCAUCUAUCCUUCCCUUCGGAAAUGAUCUGAGAUGACACUGUAGCUC